GACGAACGCUGGCGGCGUGCUUAACACAUGCAAGUCGAACGGAAAGGCCUCUUUCGGGGGGUACUCGAGUGGCGAACGGGUGAGUAACACGUGAGUAACCUGCCCUUGACUUUGGGAUAACUUCAGGAAACUGGGGCUAAUACCGGAUAGGAGCUCCUGCUGCAUGGUGGGGGUUGGAAAGUUUCGGCGGUUGGGGAUGGACUCGCGGCUUAUCAGCUUGUUGGUGGGGUAGUGGCUUACCAAGGCUUUGACGGGUAGCCGGCCUGAGAGGGUGACCGGCCACAUUGGGACUGAGAUACGGCCCAGACUCCUACGGGAGGCAGCGGUGGGGAAUAUUGCACAAUGGGUGGAAGCCUGAUGCAGCAACGCCGUGUGCGGGAUGACGGCCUUCGGGUUGUAAACCGCUUUCGCUCAUGACGAAGCUUUGUGUGACGGUAGUGGGUAAAGAAGCACCGGCUAACUACGCG
rnacentral:rRNA from 1 species